GACGAACGCUGGCGGCGUGCCUAAUACAUGCAAGUAGGACGCAGUUGCGAACGGGUGAGUAACGCGUAGGUAACUACCUAUUAGAGGGGGAUAACUAUUGGAAACGAUAGCUAAUACCGCAUACUAGUAGAUGGACCUGCGUUGUAUUAGCUAGUAGGUAGGGUAAUGGCCAACCUAGGCAACGAUACAUAGCCGACCCGAGAGGGGUGACCGCCAACAUGGGACUGAGGCAAGGCCCCGACUUCUACGGGAGGCAGCAGUAGGGAAACUUCCGCAAUGGGGGGAACCCUGACCGAGCAACGCCGCGGGAGUGAAGAAGGUUUUCGGAUCGUAAAGCUCUGUUGUUAAGGAAGCGGUACUUAACCAGAAAGGGACGGCUAACUACGUGCCAACAGCCGCGGUAAUUC
rnacentral:rRNA from 1 species